rnacentral:rRNA from 1 species
ACGGUCCUAAGGUAGCGAAAUUCCUUGUCGGGUAAUUUCCGACCCGCACGAAUGGCGUAACGACUCCUACACUGUCUCAACGAGGGACUCGGCGAAAUUGUAGUUGUGGUGAAGAUGCCACAUUCCUGCAGCAAGACGGAAAGACCCCGUGAACCUUUACUACAGCCUAAUACUGGCAUUAGGCACGUCAUGUGUAGCAUAGGUGGGAGACGUUGAACCGGGGACGCCAGUCCUCGGGGAGUCAUCGGUGAAAUACCACUCUUGGCGUGUUUGAUGUCUAACCUGUGGCCGUUAACCGGCAUGGGGACAGUGUUUGGUGGGUAGUUUGACUGGGGCGGGCGCCCCCCCAAAAAGAAAGGAGG